rnacentral:rRNA from 1 species
UACGUAGGGACCAAGCGUUGUUCGGAUUUACUGGGCGUAAAGGGCGCGUAGGCGGCAAUUCAAGUCAUCUGUGAAAUCUCCGGGCUUAACCCGGAACGGUCAGAUGAUACUGCUUUGCUAGAGUGCGGAAGGGGCAAUCGGAAUUCUUGGUGUAGCGGUGAAAUGCGUAGAUAUCAAGAGGAACACCUGAGGUGAAGACGGGUUGCUGGGCCGACACUGACGCUGAUAGCGCGAAAGCGUGGGGAGCGAACAGG